AUUGAACGCUGGCGGCAGGCCUAACACAUGCAAGUCGAACGAGUGGCGGACGGGUGAGUAAUGUCUGGGAAACUGCCCGAUGGAGGGGGAUAACUACUGGAAACGGUAGCUAAUACCGCAUACCAUCGGAUGUGCCCAGAUGGGAUUAGCUAGUAGGUGGGGUAACGGCUCACCUAGGCGACGAUCCCUAGCUGGUCUGAGAGGAUGACCAGCCACCUGGGAACUAGGACCCGGGCCAGCCUCCACCGGGGGGCAGGAGGGGGGAAGAUGGCAAAAUGGGCGCAAGCCUGAUGCAGCCAUGCCGGGUUGAUGAAGAAGGCCUUCGGGUUGUAAAGUACUUUCAGGGGGGAGGCGUUACUCGAAGAAGAAGCACCGGCUAACUCCGUGCCAGAAGCCGCGGUAAUAC
rnacentral:rRNA from 1 species